GAUGAACGCUAGCGGCAGGCUUAAUACAUGCAAGUCGAACGGUAAGUUUGGUAGCAAUAUCAAACCAAGAGUGACGUACGGGUGCGUAACACGUAUGCAACCUACCUUGUACAGGGGUAUAGCUCGGGGAAACUCGAAUUAACACCCCAUAAUAUGUUUGGUGUGGCAUCACACUAACAUUAAAACUCCGGUGGUACAAGAUGGGCAUGCGUCUGAUUAGUUAGUUGGCGGGGUAAUGGCCCACCAAGACGAUGAUCAGUAGGGGACCUGAGAGGGUGAUCCCCACACUGGCACUGAGAUACGGGCCAGACUCCUACGGGAGGGCAGCAGUAGGGAAUAUUGGUCAAUGGAUGCAAGUCUGAACCAGCCAUGCCGCGUGCAGGAAGAAGGCGUUAUGCGUUGUAAACUGCUUUUGCCAGGGGAAUAAAAAUCUGUGCGCAGAUAAUUGAAGGUACCUGGUGAAUAAGCCACGGCUAACUACGUGCCAGCCGCCG
rnacentral:rRNA from 1 species